rnacentral:rRNA from 1 species
UACGGAGGGUGCAAGCGUUGUUCGGAAUUACUGGGCGUAAAGAGCGCGUAGGCGGUUCUAUAAGUCAGACGUGAAAGCCCUGGGCUUAACCCAGGAUGUGCGUUUGAUACUGUAGAGCUAGAGGACCAGAGAGGUGAGUGGAAUUCCUAGUGUAGAGGUGAAAUUCGUAGAUAUUAGGAGGAACAUCAGUGGCGAAGGCGGCUCACUGGCUGGUAACUGACGCUGAGGCGCGAAAGCGUGGGGAGCAAACAGG